rnacentral:lncRNA from 1 species
CUCGAGCUAGCUGCACCAUAGUACCACAGCCCCGUCUGCGGCGAUUUUACCGAAAGCCUAAAUAUCAGCAGAAAAGGGAAUUGCUUUCAACAUGGUGGAAGGAAUACCGGUAGCUUUUAUUCCUUCCUGCAUGCUGUCAAAGAGGUUUGCGAUCCCCACAUGCCAGUUUAGUGUCAGAUAUUUCUCUUGUGGAUGGAUGGAAGCAGUCUUGUAUCACCCAAUCAUCCCAAAUGCGUGUGUGUGCUUCCUGAGCAGCAAGGUCAAGCCAUCCAUGAAGUCUGGAUCCCCGUAUCAAGUGUGGGUAGCAGUGGAGAAAUAAUCUUCCAAAGGACCAGGUGGCAAAGUGUUAUCUUUAUACUGUACGUGCCCAGCUGAGUAAUUACAUUUAACCAUCAUGAUGUCAGCAGAUUGUAACAUAUUAUUUUCACAUGUAUGAUUAUUGAGGACAUGUAUGCGUUGAAAGUCCUGAAGAAGGUUAUAUAGUGAUAUAUUCGGCACACAUGCAUCUGUUGGCAUUACAUACAUGUACCCAUUGUUACAAAGUCACCGCAUGUCUCGGCAAACAACGCAAUCAGACAAAAAUGAAACAUUUGGGAAAAGAACACACUGAUAAAAGAUGAUCGGAAUAAGUGGAUUUUCUUUGGAAUCAGAAUUAAGAUUAUUUUAAUUAUUUACAAAUUACAAAUUACUACAAAUGGACUAAAUAAAUGGACCAGGUGUGACAACAGCAAUUCUUUGUACAGUAUAAAUAACAUAAAUUUCAAAUCAUACGUUUGGCCAUUGGAAAAGAAAGGGAGGUACCUCCGGGUGGGAAUCUGACCCGAGCUUGACCGUCCAUUCGGGAGUCGCAAAACUGGAACGCGAUAGAGUUUGGAAACAUCCGGCACCAUCAUUUGAGAGUUGCACCUCAGUGCUGGCCCAGAACAAGGACAGCGGUAAGCGUGGUCAUUGCUUAUAGCAAGGGAUCAUGCCCCCGGCACCAUCAGCUGAGAGUUGCACCUCAAUGCCGGCCCAGAACAAGGACAGUGACCGCCAAAAAUUUUGUUGAGUCGGUUUCAAAGCGGAAUGUAGAAUUCACACCAACUUCCAGCAAAACAAAAAUAGCAGAUACAUUUGACCACCUAGACAAAGCAGUGAGAAGAUAUGCACCGGACUCCUGCUACCGACAGCUGAUGGAUGCCAUGCCAUUUCCAAAGAAAGAAGCUGUAUUAAGACCUUCAACUUUAAUAGCAAUGGCUAAACAGCCUAUGAAGAUGCUACUGAACUUAUCAGCAAGGUGUGUUUGACCAAAGGUGAUAUCAAUACUGUGUGUGAACUCACAGUGAAUCAGUCAUCUUCCAAAGAGUGGCUGGAACAUCUGCAAGGAAGGAUAACUGCAAGCAAAAUUCAAAAUGUAUUUACAAGGGUCGCAUCGCUGAAGAGAGACCCAACACUUAAUAGCUCCUCAUUGAUCAAAGCAAUAAUGGGUUUUAAAAAUGUUCCCCAAACGGUUGCUAUAAGGUAUGGUAGUUCAACUGAACCACAUGCAAAACAGGCAUAUAAGAAGACAAUGGCUAGACAACACAAGAAAUUUCAAGGAAAAGAUAGCGGUCUGAUUAUCUCUCACAAGAAGCAGUUUCUUGGAGCAUCCCCAGACCUCAUAAUUUC